UUGAGUGGGUGGGUUCCUCCUCUUACGCUGAAGCUGCGCAGCAGUGAGGGGGAAGCCAAGAGCAUCAGGCAGAGGUGGAGGCUGGGGGUUUGAGGUGUUCGCAAAAGCGAAGUUUGCUGAGCUACAUCCAGCUAUUCCUCCCCUGGUUAAGACAUCAGCUACUUUCUUUACUGUCUUGCUUAGUGCAUUGCACUUAUCCUUCAGCUUUUCUAUCGUUCUGUCCUGAGCCUUGUUCCACCUCUGAAGGCGACCAAUGUGGUCAUGAGCAUCACGAAGAGCUCCAGGGGGAAGAACUCCAUCAUGUGGCUUGAAGUAGUAGUGCGGAGGUCCAUAGAUAUGCUCAGAAGUGUCUGCAACAGGCGAGUCAGGUCGCGUAGGAACACUCCU
rnacentral:lncRNA from 1 species